rnacentral:ncRNA from 2 species
AGUAGAGUAGACAGGGCACGUUAAGUGUCAGAUGACGGGAAGUUUGCAUCUGAACGAAAGAUCUUAACUGAUUUGCGUUGCCUCUGUCGCAUUCCGCUACU